rnacentral:tRNA from 1 species
GGGGUGUUAGUCCAAAAAAGACAACUGAUUUCGACUCAGUUAAUUAUGGUUUAAACCCAUAAUACCCCU